GACUAACGCUGGCGGCGUGCUUAACACAUGCAAGUCGAACGGAAAGGCCCUGCUUUGGUGGGGUGCGCGAGUGGCGAACGGGUGAGUAACACGUGAGUAACCUGCCCUUGACUUUGGGAUAACUUCAGGAAACUGGGGCUAAUACCGGAUAGGGACUCCUGCUGCAUGGUGGGGGUUGGAAAGUUUCGGCGGUUGGGGAUGGACUUGCGGCUUAUCAGCUUGUUGGUGGGGUAGUGGCUUACCAAGGCUUUGACGGGUAGCCGGCCUGAGAGGGUGACCGGCCACAUUGGGACUGAGAUACGGCCCAGAAUCCUACGGGAGGCAGCAGUGGGGAAUAUUGCACAAUGGGCGGAAGCCUGAUGCAGCAACGCCGCGUGCGGGAUGACGGCCUUCGGGUUGUAAACCGCUUUCGCCUGUGACGAAGCGUGAGUGACGGUAAUGGGUAAAGAAGCACCGGCUAACUACGUG
rnacentral:rRNA from 1 species